GUAACCUCCAGAUGUCACCAUAAUAACUCCCAGGCAUACGGUCUCAUAAUGUGUGUUGCAGAGAGAAGACAAGUAAAGAAGAAGUUCCUCUCAUCCCACUGCACACCGUCAUGCUGGCAGUUCCUGACAAGACAUGGGCCAGAGUGUUAAGAUAGGAAUAAACCUGCCGAGCUCUGCUCUGUAACUGGAGAGCCAAGCAUUCUGGCCUCAAGUCACGUUCUUAAGCUUCUCCCUGGAUUCCAGCUUCCAAAAUACCAAAGUAUAAAUUCUCUUCUUUCUUCUUUGCUCUCCACCUCUCUGGCUUACCACCUCAGCCUUCUCCAGUAGCUGAGAGCAAAGAAGCUACAGGAGCAGUAGGGAAUGAGUCUGACUAUAAGAAAUGACAGAGCUGGGCAGAACAGUGGUAAAAUGAACUUCUCAGCCCUCAGCAGCUGACUGCCAAUGCACUCAGGAGAUGCUUUCAAGAAGAGGAGCCCCUGUCUGCUGAGUGAGGCAAAGAGGAGGGACCAGGAGAAGAUGGACCACUAUGGAAAGCCACCCUGUAAAUGGAUCACUUACCAGAGGUUGCUGCCAUGUGAUAGCAGGUGCUGUUGCCAUUUCCUCCUGGACAAGAGAGGCCUGUCCUUGACCCGAACAACCUCCUGUGUCCCAUUACAGUACUACACUAAAGAAUAGACCUUGGAAGUAGUCCUCUAAGAUAGUUUUUGAUAACUUUUCAGACCACUGACUUGCAAUUAUGAGGAAAUCUCACUACAGAUCAGCUGGGAAAUACUCAAGGAAGUGAUACAAAACAAAGUAAAGGAAGUUAUUGGACAGUACGGAUACUUUAUGACAGUCUAGACAAGCAAUAAAACAGGGAAAUGUGGGGAAAAUGUAAACAAGCCAAGUCUAAAGGGAAACAAAAGAAGUAAAAGUAUCAUGAAUAAAAUUAGCAAAUAACUCCAAGGAUGAACAAGAAGUGUAAGAUUUAAAGGAAGAUCAGCAAAACAAGAUGUAAGAGCAGCAUGCCAGUAUGCUAACAGUUAAUUUCUGUGGAAAUAGAGUUGGGCCAAUGAUACCAGUAAUCAGGAAAAAAAAAAAGAAAGAAAAAAAAAAAAAAGAAAGAAAGAAGUGGUGAACAACAUACCAUAAAGGUAUGUGGUGAAGUAAAUAUGAAAGGAAUAUUUUGAAACCUGCUGCAGCCAGGUUUAGAAGCUUGCAGUCCACCCUGAAAUGCAAACAUGGUAGACGUGCUUAAACAGGCAUUAGCUCAGUUUCUUCAUCAGAAAUCUCUAUUCCAAGAAAGAGUUGAAAGCAGAUGUCCUGCAAGAAGAGAUAAAUAGCACAACUGGCCUUUUAGAAGCUGGAGGAACAAAUUCUACCAAGGCAAAAAAUAAAAAUAAAAAAAAAUUGAAAAGGUAUACUGGAGCAAGUGAAGGUAUGAAGUAGCUGAAUAAAGAAAAUAGUUGAAUGAACCCUGAGGAAAAGAGUUCCUCUCAUUCCAAGCAAUCCAGAGGUAUAAGUUCAUUGUCCUGAUGAAAUCAGUUGUCAACAGGCUGUAGUUAGAUGUGGAGUAGGGAAAAGAGACAGCAUGACUUCAAAUCAGUGUCAAGAGCAUCGCUGGUCAAGAGUUCUACUCUGGCAGAACAUGGAAAAAUUACAGUGA
rnacentral:lncRNA from 1 species